rnacentral:miRNA from 1 species
UUUUAGGUCAGGAGAUGCACACG